AUUGAACGCUGGCGGCAGGCCUAACACAUGCAAGUCGAGCGGAUGAAGGGAGCUUGCUCCUGGAUUCAGCGGCGGACGGGUGAGUAAUGCCUAGGAAUCUGCCUGGUAGUGGGGGAUAACGUCCGGAAACGGGCGCUAAUACCGCAUACGUCCUGAGGGAGAAAGUGGGGGAUCUUCGGACCUCACGCUAUCAGAUGAGCCUAGGUCGGAUUAGCUAGUUGGUGGGGUAAAGGCCUACCAAGGCGACGAUCCGUAACUGGUCUGAGAGGAUGAUCAGUCAGACUGGAACUGAGACACGGUCCAGACUCCUACAGGAGGCAGCAGUGGGGAAUAUUGGACAAUGGGCGAAAGCCUGAUCCAGCCAUGCCGCGUGUGUGAAGAAGGUCUUCGGAUUGUAAAGCACUUUAAGUUGGGAGGAAGGGCAGUAAGUUAAUACCUUGCUGUUUUGACGUUACCAACAGAAUAAGCACCGGCUAACUUCGUG
rnacentral:rRNA from 1 species